rnacentral:rRNA from 1 species
GUCUACAGCUGUGCCACCCUGAACAUGCCUGAUCUUGUCUAAUCUUGGAAGCUAAGCAGGGUCAGGCCUGGUUAGUACUUGGAUGGGAGACCACCUAGGAACACCAGAUGCUGUAGGCA